UGGGGAAUUUUGGACAAUGGGCGAAAGCCUGAUCCAGCAAUGCCGCGUGUGUGAAGAAGGCCUUCGGGUUGUAAAGCACUUUUGUCCGGAAAGAAAUCCUUGGCUCUAAUACAGUCGGGAGAUGACGGUACCGGAAGAAUAAGCACCGGCUAACUACGUGCCAGCAGCCGCGGUAAUACGUAGGGUGCAAGCGUUAAUCGGAAUUACUGGGCGUAAAGCGUGCGCAGGCGGUUUGCUAAGACCGAUGUGAAAUCCCCGGGCUCAACCUGGGAACUGCAUUGGUGACUGGCAGGCUAGAGUAUGGCAGAGGGGGGUAGAAUUCCACGUGUAGCAGUGAAAUGCGUAGAGAUGUGGAGGAAUACCGAUGGCGAAGGCAGCCCCCUGGGCCAAUACUGACGCUCAUGCACGAAAGCGUGGGGAGCAAACAGGAUUAGAUACCCUGGUAGUCCACGCCCUAAACGAUGUCAACUAGUUGUUGGGGAUUCAUUUCCUUAGUAACGUAGCUAACGCGUGAAGUUGACCGCCUGGGGAGUACGGUCGCAAGAUUAAAACUUAAAUGAAUUGACGGGGU
rnacentral:rRNA from 1 species